AUUGAACGCUGGCGGCAGGCCUAACACAUGCAAGUCGAGCGGAUGAAGGGAGCUUGCUCCUGGAUUCGGCGGCGGACGGGUGAGUAAUGCCUAGGAAUCUGCCUGGUAGUGGGGGAUAACGUCCGGAGACGGGCGCUAAUACCGCAUACGUCCUGAGGGAGAAAGUGGGGGAUCUUCGGACCUCACGCUAUCAGAUGAGCCUAGGUCGGAUUAGCUAGUUGGUGGGGUAAAGGCCUACCAAGGCGACGAUCCGUAACUGGUCUGAGAGGAUGAUCAGUCACACUGGAACUGAGACACGGUCCAGACUCCUACGGGAGGCAGCAGUGGGGAAUAUUGGACAAUGGGCGAAAGCCUGAUCCAGCCAUGCCGCGUGUGUGAAGAAGGUCUUCGGAUUGUAAAGCACUUUAAGUUGGGAGGAAGGGCAGUAAGUUAAUACCUUGCUGUUUUGACGUUACCAACAGAAUAAGCACCGGCUAACUUCGUG
rnacentral:rRNA from 1 species